UACGUAGGCAGCGAGCGUUGUUCGGAUUUACUGGGCGUAAAGAGUGCGUAGGCGGUUUUCUAAGUUUGGUGUGAAAUCUCCCGGCUCAACUGGGAGGGUGCGCCGAAGACUGGAAGGCUUGAGUAUGGGAGAGGUAAGCGGAAUUCCUGGUGUAGCGGUGAAAUGCGUAGAUAUCAGGAGGAACCCCUGCGGUGUAGACGGCUUACUGGACAAUAACUGACGCUGAGGCACGAAAGCGUGGGUAGCAAACAGG
rnacentral:rRNA from 1 species